rnacentral:rRNA from 1 species
AUGGUCGCUGGUUUUCGUUUGUCAUGUGUAUCAAAGAUAGAGCUUUUGUGUUUCUUGACUCGGCGUUUGGAGAGAACUCAACGUAGCACAGAGAUAUCCGUGAUGAGCUGGCAUAAUUGUGGUGUCUUGGCUCUGAAGUAUACGGAGAUCUUCACACCAAGAACUCAGAUGACAAAUCUUUUCUCCAAUAUAGACAUUCCAAAUCUUAGGAUCAAAUAUGUGAAUGAUAUGUUUUUCAGCAUCUGCGACAAAUCUUUUGUCACUGAUUUCUUUGGCGAUGUAUGUUCUUAUUUUCCUUGUCCUCUAGUUCAUUUUCAUUUUCUUUUCUUAUUUUUACCUUUUAUUUUCUUUACCUAUUAUGGCCUCUUUAAUUUUUUUGUGUAG